CGGAAUGGCUAAUACCGCAUAAGCUGGUGACGAUGGGAAUGGUUAUCAGGAAAGCUUUAGUGCUUUGAGAGGGGCCUACGGCCGAUUAGCUAGUUGGUGAGGUAAAGGCUCACCAAGGCGAUGAUCGGUAGCUGGUCUGAGAGGACGAUCAGCCACACGGGAACUGAGACACGGUCCCGACUCCUACGGGGGGCAGCAGUGAGGAAUAUUCGGCAAUGGGGGCAACCCUGACCGAGCAACGCCGCGUGGAGGAUGACGGUUUUCGGAUUGUAAACUCCUUUUCUCAGGGAAGAGUGAGGACGGUACCUGAGGAAUAAGUCACGGCUAACUACGUGCCAGCAGCCGCGGUAAUACGUAGGUGGCAAGCGUUAUCCGGAAUUACUGGGCGUAAAGCGCACGCAGGUGGCUGCUUAAGUCUGACGUGAAAGCUCCUGGCUUAACUGGGAGAGGUCGUUGGAGACUGGGCGGCUUGAGGCGAGGAGAGGGGUGUAGAAUUCCCCGGUGUAGUGGUGGAAUGCGUAGAGAUCGGGAG
rnacentral:rRNA from 1 species